GAGGAAGCCGUGCGGGCGUUUACUGCCGGUGGGCGUUCGGCUCGUCGGCCCCGGGCUGGGAGUCGUGGCCUCGAGGGCAAAAUCACGCGUUCCUCUAGCCUUGGCUCUUGUGCCGUUGCUCCCGCUGUGACUGCAGGUGAGAGAAUAAGAGCAGAUCGAGAUCUGACCAGGGUAUGGAGUGCAACAUGAGCUCUCUGUGCUUCUCUGCUGUGUUUACUGAAGGUCACCUUCCUCCUUGAUGUACAAGCCCAAGACAACAACUCUGCAUUCAGUGUGGCCCAGGUAUUCCGAAGGUUGGAUACCCGUGCAGUCAUCAAGCUCUUUUGGUGGAGGUUUUACUCGACGAUUGCAAUUUAUCAUUUUCAAUCCAGACAAGUACUGACUUCUGAGAAUCAGAAGUAUGUCCUCCUUCUCGUGCCUGCAGUUUCUCUAUAGACAAGCAGAAAAAUUGGGACAUGCUGCAGUCAGUCUGACAGCUGCCGAAAAUGCGAGUGAUUCAUAAAUAUGUUCCUUCUGUGUGAUGAUUGUUGGUAAGGGUGUAGGACUAAUCUGGAGCCUCUCGUCACUAGCCUAGAAAUAGCUGUUUGGUUUAUAAAGGCAAGACCCGCAAAAAGCAGACCAAGAGCAAAAAACUGCAUGUGAAGCAGGAACAGCAAAUUUUAGUGAAAUAGCUUUGGAGGGAGAGCUGGGAGAACACCUUUGUUGACAUUCCUAAGAAAACGAUUUAAAUGAGAUUUUCAGGACAUCAUGGCUCUUAUUCUGCUCGAUGCUGAAUGGAUAAUUCUCACCACAGCAGCACUGCAUUAUUCCUUUUCAUAUGCUCAGUUUUGAGCUCUGCUGUGAGUGAAAAUGGACAACAUAUAAAUGUGGAAUUGCACAGACCACCAGGCAUUUCUGACACAAAUACAUUCAUUACUGAAUAGCUUUAUUCUUGUGCAGUCAUCCUGCCUUUUUACUGCAAAUCCACUGUGCCAAUUCAGAGUUCAUAGAAAAUAUUUCACAUCCAACGUGACUCCAGAUUACAUGUGCUAUCUUACAGCAGAGGGCAGCUCCUUUCAUGUUCCAGCCUCCUUAAACUAGUUUAGGUGACAGUUACAGACGGGAAGCCUUGACCUAUGAAAUAUUUUUGUUAUACUUUAAUGCAUUACUGUUAUACUGUGACUAAGUGAUAAGAUUUUCUCUGGAAAAGAUACAGGUUUGCCCAGGUUUAUGCAGAGCAGUUCCAAUGGACUUUAACUUUCACACCUAGCAGUCAACACUGCUGCAGGUAGUGCUGUCGUGAGAGGGAAAUUGGGCCCUAAGAAACUUAUUAUGGAAGUAUUACUUGAGCUGAUCUUUCAGUUUGCUUUGAGCCCUGUUUGAAGGAAGGGACUUGCUGCUAAAAUCUCAUAGAACUUCCUACAUAUUUCUAAAGUUACAGGGGAAAUAAAACGCUGCAGUCAGGUACAUCAGAAUUAGUGAACUGGAUUUGAGCAGCAUCCACCUCUCACAGCCAGUAUCAGCUGCUUUGAGGAUGAUGAAUGUCAGCCCUGCAGCUAAGAAAUUUGUGAGUUAACUAGCACAGUCCUUUGCUCAUCCCCCACAGACAAAACCGGUGUGUUCUGCUGCAGAAAUGCUUGUUUUUCCUUGAGAAAGUCUACCAUGUUGUCUAUUUCAGCUCCUUGUACUGCUUACUCAUUUUCCAGUUUAGAACUGUCUGUGUUUGAUAUUCAUUGUUUUUGCCUUGAGAGAAAACAUACGGAAAAUACAUCCAGUGCUCAGAGGCUCUUGUUUCAAGGGUUCUUUGUCAGUUCUUCUUGUUAGGAAAGCAGGAAUGUCACCCUCUGUGGGGUGUUUUGUGCUUUGCGUGUAUGCUUU